UUGACUAUGCCAAUAUUGAUACACCCGAGGCAUUUAUUCCCGAGGACUCAAUACAUACCCCCACCUCAUUUCUCUUCUUCAGUCCUCGAGGUCAUCUAAGUCCUCGAGAUAUUGUAGUCCUCGAGAUACCUCGAGGACACUUUUACAUUCCCUCAAUGUCCUCGAGAAAUAGUCCUCGAGGACAUACACCACCAACAUACCUCCUAAAGACCUGGGUACCUAACUAACAAACCUAAACACCCAAGGAUUCUACAUCAACCCUAACACCACUUGUCAAACAAUUCCAUUGCAAGUAGGACAUUCUUUAUAAUAGAAAUUCCCUUGGAUAAAAACUUCCAACCAACACAAUCCUACUAGGAGUACACUACCUACUCCUAUAAAAGCAGAACCUUGGGCCAUUAUUCAGGUACGUUUUCUCAUUGUUCUUCAGCACAUAGCCUCACGCAUAUAUUUCCCUUUCUGACUUAAGCAUCGGAGGGGCGACGAGAACACACCUCGUUGCCUUUGUUUCAGGUAUCGGAAGAUCACGUUCGUGCUCCUCACCAGUCAUCAAGCUCGGAAAAUCAGCAGGUACGAUUUUUGGUAGCAUCA
rnacentral:lncRNA from 1 species